rnacentral:lncRNA from 1 species
UGGAUGCUUUUCUGAGGAGGAGGAUGGCAGACCAGGUCCUCAAGAGAGGUACCCACAGGCAGAGACCAGACCAAGAGACUGUUAGGACCAUCCUUCCUAAUCCACAUAGGCGUCAGCCACCUGGAUCACACCAUCAGGUCCUGGCUAUCGGGGUACCUUGCCCCUCUAUUUCCUCUCCUCCCUCUGUUGGAAGAUUUCUUCAUCUUCUCUAUUGGACCAUGAUUAUUAGUGUUCAUCAAGGAGACAGGAACACACCAGCCAGCACUGCCUGGGUCACUCAGGCACACCCUCUACCCCAGAGAACAUUUGGUCCUCAGGGUUCCAAGUACAGGAGAUGAUGGAGGAGACAACACAGGAUGGGCCCAGGCUGCCAGGCAUCCAACUAGGGAACAGGAUAGUUAUGGACCCCAAAGGCUGUUCCCCAGGAAUUAACAUGCCCAAGCCCUCACAGACCAGCCCCAGUUUCCCAAACCUGAGUCAAUUGCUUCUGGGUGACAACAGCAACAGAUUUCAAUAAAUGGGAUUAAACAAA